UCGAUGAAGUUGUUGUGUAUCGGCAUUGUCCGUCCCCAGAAUUUCACCCUCACCUUCGUCGAUUUCCUCACCAAUAGGUUGGAAUUUCAGUGGUAAAAAACUUCCAAACGUAACUGGUUGUAAUCGCUGUUGUACUCCAUUUUCCGGCGUUAUCUGCAUGACGGAACUUUCAAUCCUGCUAGGGUUGUGAAAAAUUGUAGGCGCCGAACCCAUCCCUGUUAACCAUCGAACAGGCUUGUCAACAGCAGGCGUUUCUAUACUCUCCUCCUCGGUAUCACAUUUGUCGCUGGUGGUUUCCGUCGUCGUCUCGCCAUGGCUGCAGGUGCAAGUUGGCU
rnacentral:lncRNA from 1 species